rnacentral:rRNA from 1 species
CCUGCCCAGUGCCGGAAGGUUAAAGGGAGAGGUUCGGCGCAAGCCAAAGCUUUGAACUGAAGCCCCGGUGAACGGCGGCCGUAACUAUAACGGUCCUAAGGUAGCGAAAUUCCUUGUCGGGUAAGUUCCGACCCGCACGAAAGGUGUAACGACUGGAGCACUGUCUCGGCAUGGGACCCGGCGAAAUUGAAAUACGUGUAAAGAUGCGCGUUACCCGCAGCAGGACAAAAAGACCCCGUGGAGCUUUACUGCAACUUGGCAUUGCGUUAGGGCUUGGUCUGUGUAGAAUAGGUGGGAGGCUUUGAAGCUGGGGCGCUAGCCUCGGUGGAGCCGCAAUGUGAAAUACCACCCUGAUUAAGCUUUGACCCUAACCCCGCGCCGUUAUCCGGCCGGGGAACCGUGCCAGGCGGGCAGUUUGACUGGGGCGGUCGCCUCCUAAAAGGUAGCGGAGGCGCCCAAAGGUUCUCUCAGGCUGAAUGGAAACCAGCCAUAGAGUGUAAAGGCACAAGAGAGCUUGACUGCAAGGCGAACAUGCCGAGCAGAUGCGAAAGCAGGGCUUAGUGAUCCCACGGUACUGAGUGGAAGGGCCGUGGCUUACCGGACAAAAGCUACCCCGGGGAUAACAGGCUGGUGAAGUCCAAGAGUCCAUAUCGACGACUUCGCUCGGCACCUCGAUGUCGGCUCAUCGCAUCCUGGGGCUGAAUAAGGUCCCAAGGGUCGGGCUGUUCGCCCGUUAAAGCGGUACGUGAGCUGGGUUCAGACCGUCGUGAGACAGGUCGGUCUCUAUCCGCUGUGGGCGCAGGAGAUUUGAGGGGAGCUGCUCUUAGUACGAGAGGACCGGAGUGGACAGACCUCUGGUGUGCCAGUUGUUCCGCCAGGAGCAUCGCUGGGUAGCCACGUCUGGCAGAGAUAACCGCUGAAUGCAUCUAAGUGGGAAACUCGCCCCAAGAUAAGAUCUCCCUUCCUUAAUUGGAGAAAGACCGCCAGAAGACUACUGGUUUGAUAGGCGGCAGGUGUAAGCACAGCAAUGUGUUAAGCUUAGCCGAUGCUAAUGGUCGAGGGCU